rnacentral:rRNA from 1 species
AAUAUUUGACAAUGGGCGAAAGCCUGAUCCAGCCAUGCCGCGUGUGUGAAGAAGGUCUUCGGAUUGUAAAGCACUUUAAGUUGGGAGGAAGGGGUUGAAGCUACUACCUUCAAUCUUUGACGUUACCAACAGACUAAGCACCGGCUUACUCUGUGCCAGCCGCCGCGGUAAUACAGAGGGUGCAAGCGUUAAGCGGAAUUACUGGGCGUAAAGCGCGGGUAGGUGGUUCAGUAAGAUGGAAGUGAAAUCCCCGGGCUUAACCUGGGAACUGCUUUCAUAACUGAUGAGCUAGAGUACGGUAGAGGGUAGUGGAAUUUCCUGUGUAGCGGUGAAAUGCGUAGAUAUAGGAAGGAACAACAGUGGCGAAGGCGACUACCUGGACUGAUACUGACACUGAGGUGCGAAAGCGUGGGGAGCAAACA